UGCGCUGGCCUGUCCUCUAUGUCUGCAGAUGGCCCUACUCCUAGCAGGGGGAGUGGUGGCGCGGCGGGCUAGUGCUUUGGAUUGGAGGCAGGAGGUUCUGAACUCUCCUGCUGGGCUGCAACCCUGAGCCAGAACUUGGGUCGUGAGAUCUAAUUCAGAUUUAAUUUUGUAUUCCUCGGGCUUCUGCAUGGUUAAGUCCUCAGUAAAGAUUUGUUGGAUAAGUGAAUGAAACUGCUACCCUGUUAACAGCAAGUUCUCCAGCUGCAGGUCCGGUGUGACAGGUGCUCUGCCCUGCAUCAUGUCUAAGCCUUGCAUUAGAUUAGCAAGGCUUUACAGGAGGAAACAAUGAUGUCCUGAGAGCCGUGUCACACAGCUAAAGAGUGCUGUCUGUAUCAUAGUCAUCUAAUUGCACUGGAAGUUUGGAAAAGUCAAGAAAAGGAAAUGAGUUGUGGAAGUAGAUCCGGGGAUCCUUCCUCUUCAUCGAAAACAAACACACAAAAGGAACACGCUCUUUGAGUUCUGCAGAGGAACACUUGUUAGAGUUGCUGUAGGUCCUCACUAAUGCACUCCAGGUCUGCUGUGGGCAUCUGCAGGACAAGAAUCCCCACUGUCUGGGAAAGGGCCACGGAGGAGAGCCUGUGAUGGGCGGCCCAGGGAGCCUCCUCCCACCCUGACGCGGGCUAAGGCUGGGAAGCUGUGCUUUCCAAGAGCUAGCACAGUGCAUUUGCAAUCUCCCCUCUGUGUCAACACAAAGGGCAUAUUUGAUUGCUCAUGUUUUAUACUUUUUUUUUUCUGUAUAUAAAGAGAAUCGAAAAUGAAUCUUGAUGUGAAUGGAAGGGGAGAGGGAGUGGGAAA